rnacentral:rRNA from 1 species
GAUGAACGCUGGCGGCGUGCCUAAUACAUGCAAGUCAAGCGAACAGACGAGGAGCUUGCUCCUCUGACGUUAGCGGCGGACGGGUGAGUAACACGUGGAUAACCUACCUAUAAGACUGGGAUAACUUCGGGAAACCGGAGCUAAUACCGGAUAAUAUAUUGAACCGCAUGGUUCAAUAGUGAAAGACGGUUUUGCUGUCACUUAUAGAUGGAUCCGCGCCGCAUUAGCUAGUUGGUAAGGUAACAGCUUACCAAGGCAACGAUGCGUAGCCGACCUGAGAGGGGGAUCGGCCACACUGGAACUGAGACACGGUCCAGACUCCUACGGGAGGCAGCAGUAGGGAAUCUUCCGCAAUGGGCGAAAGCCUGACGGAGCAACGCCGCGUGAGUGAUGAAGGUCUUCGGAUCGUAAAACUCUGUUAUUAGGGAAGAACAAAUGUGUAAGUAACUAUGCACGUCUUGACGGUACCUAAUCAGAAAGCCACGGCUAACUACGUG